GAGGGUUGUUGUAUUGUCGCUGCUAACGAUGAUAGGGAUGCUGGAUUAUCCGACCUUCU
rnacentral:tRNA from 1 species